rnacentral:tRNA from 1 species
CAUUGAAUGGCUGAUAAAAGUGAUGGUCUCUUAAACCAAUUUAUAGUUAAUGUUAACUUUCAAUGAGAA